GGAGAGGUGGCCGAGUUGGUUGAAGGCGCUCGCCUGCUAAGUGAGUAUUCCGGGAAACUGGGAUCCAGGGUUCGAAUCCCUGUCUCUCCG
rnacentral:tRNA from 1 species